UCCUCUGGAAUUGCCCACGCUCCUUUUC
rnacentral:piRNA from 1 species